rnacentral:rRNA from 1 species
ACGAACGCUGGCGGCAUGCCUAACACAUGCCAGUCGAACGAGACCUUCGGGUCUAGUGGCGCACGGGUGCGUAACGCGUGGGAACCUGCCCUUAGGUUCGGAAUAACUCCCCGAAAGGGGUGCUAAUACCGGAUAAUGUCUUCGGACCAAAGAUUUAUCGCCUUUGGAUGGGCCCGCGUUGGAUUAGCUAGUUGGUAGGGUAAAAGCCUACCAAGGCGACGAUCCAUAGCUGGUCUGAGAGGAUGAUCAGCCACACUGGGACUGAGACACGGCCCAGACUCCUACGGGAGGCAGCAGUGGGGAAUAUUGGACAAUGGGCGAAAGCCUGAUCCAGCAAUGCCGCGUGAGUGAUGAAGGCCUUAGGGUUGUAAAGCUCUUUUACCCGGGAUGUUAAUGACAGUACCGGGAGAAUAAGCUCCGGCUAACUCCGUG